rnacentral:rRNA from 1 species
AGCGAACGCUGGCGGCAGGCCUAACACAUGCAAGUCGAACGAACCUUUCGGGGUUAGUGGCGGACGGGUGAGUAACACGUGGGAACGUGCCUUUAGGUUCGGAAUAACUCAGGGAAACUUGUGCUAAUACCGAAUGUGCCCUUCGGGGGAAAGAUUUAUCGCCUUUAGAGCGGCCCGCGUCUAAUUAGCUAGUUGGUUGAGGUAAUGGCUCACCAAGGCGACGAUCAGUAGCUGGUCUGAGAGGAUGAUCAGCCACAUUGGGACUGAGACACGGCCCAAACUCCUACGGGAGGCAGCAGUGGGGAAUCUUGCGCAAUGGGCGAAAGCCUGACGCAGCCAUGCCGCGUGAAUGAUGAAGGUCUUAGGAUUGUAAAAUUCUUUCACCGGGGACGAUAAUGACGGUACCCGGAGAAGAAGCCCCGGCUAACUUCGUG